CCUAUAGAGCAGAAGAGUCUGGGAGGACUGUCAGUGUUUUAGCUUGAGAAGUCAUUUUUCUUGGAAACCAAAUCCUUUUGUUGGUCAGCUGGAAAUCUGCUCAGCCACCUGAGAUUCAUUGUGGAUGAAAGUGUUUACAAUGCUUGGUAUGAGGAAAUGCAGGUAUGGACACACAUCCAUAUCUGAUGCAAACAUAUACAGAAGAGGAAUUCCCACAAAAUAAAUAA
rnacentral:lncRNA from 1 species